rnacentral:rRNA from 1 species
GACGAACGCUGGCGGCGUGCUUAACACAUGCAAGUCGAACGGACAGGCCCUGAUUUUGUGGGGUGCUCGAGUGGCGAACGGGUGAGUAACACGUGAGUAACCUGCCCUUGACUUUGGGAUAACUUCAGGAAACUGGGGCUAAUACCGGGUAGGAGCUCCUGCUGCAUGGUGGGGGUUGGAAAGUUUCGGCGGUUGGGGCUGGACUCGCGGCUUAUCAGCUUGUUGGUGGGGUAGUGGCUGACCAAGGCUUUGACGGGUAGCCGGCCUGAGAGGGUUACCGGCCACCAUGGUACUGAGAGAGGGCCCAGACGCCUACGGGAGGCAGCAGUGGGGAGUAUUGCAGAAUGGGCGGAAGCCUGAUGCAGCAACGCCGCGUGCGUGAUGACGGCCUUCGGGUUGUAAACCGCUUUCGCCUGUGACGAAGCGGGAGUGACGGUAAUGGGUAAAGAAGCAACGGCUAACUACGUG